AGGCACGCACAAGGUGCCCGCGAACUCAUAAUCCGCGGGUCGCAGGUUCGAAUCCUGCUGGGCCCACCA
rnacentral:tRNA from 1 species